UACGGAGGGUGCGAGCGUUGUCCGGAAUCACUGGGCGUAAAGGGCGCGUAGGCGGCUCAUGAAGGCUGUGGUGAUAGUCCGGGGCUCAACCUCGGAUCGGCCGUGGCGACUCGUGGGCUGGAGCACUGUAGAGGCGGGUGGAAUUCCGGGUGUAGCGGUGGAAUGCGUAGAGAUCCGGAAGAACACCAGUGGCGAAGGCGGCCCGCUGGGCAGUGGCUGACGCUGAAGCGCGACAGCGUGGGGAGCAAACAGG
rnacentral:rRNA from 1 species